rnacentral:rRNA from 2 species
CGACCUCGGGCUGUACGGGACUACCCGGUGGAUUUAAGCAUAUUAAUAAGCGGAGGAAAACAAA